CGGAGAUUGGCAGGGAUGUGUCAGCUGACCGGAGUUCGCCACGAACUGUUAGCGGCAAGUUCGCGAACGGUUCGCGACAUCACUAGUCAUCACCCUCUUCCGCAAUUUUAAUAAUCACCUUCUUCCACCAUUUUAGCCUUCUCCCUUUCCUCUCCCAUCACCAUUAACCCCUUAAGGACACAACUUCAUGAUGGAAUAUUAAGCAUCCUCCCCUUCUUCUCCCACUACCAUUAGGCAUUUUCCCUCCCACUCAAACUACCAUUUUGUAGAUAUUAUCCCCUUGAUCACACCCACCAUCAGGCAUUAACUCUUCCAAUCCCACCACCAUUAUGCAUCGCCCACCGGGGAGGGG